CCGUUUUCCGCUGCCAAGUGCAUCGGCGUUCGAUCCUGAUGAUCGGUGAUGGAAGCGGAUGCCCUGACACCGUAAAAAUAUUUCACCAGUGUCUCGUCACCCUCGGCGCUAGCGAUGUGCAACGCCGUUUGUCCGUCGCCCUUCGCUCCAUAAUCCACCAGUAUCCGCACCAUGUCGAUGUCCCUCCUCCUGGCUGCCAGAUGAAGAGCGGAAUCUCCCGUCGGAGUGGUCGCGCGAAGUUGAUCAGGCGCUUGUUGAGACAACAAUUCCCGACACAUCGACUGAUUUCCAGCUUCCACCGCCAACAGCAGAGGAAUCUUCCCUUUCUGUAACGACGUCGAAUUAAAUGAAAAUUAACUUUAAUUGAUUGACGCAAAUCUGAUCGUCCCAGCAGCAUCGAUUUUUACGGAUAAAGAAAAACGAACUCGUACGAUUUCCAUAAAUGGCCAAAUUCGUACGUAGACGUAAAUAUCGAUGGGUACUUCGCCGAGACAAAGAACGAGAGAACAUUAGGAGGCUGAUGGUCGUGCGGGGGCGAGAAGGAAAGAGAAACCGGAUGGAAUUGUACGAGAAAGGGACAGAGGGUGAAGAAGAAACGAAAUAGCGGAGAAUUAUGACAGCUGUUCGGUACCAGGCAGCGAUAGUCCUCCGGCAUCAUUCGCGUCACGCGAGAAACCUGGACGAGAAUCGGGAGCAAUGCGCGAUGGGAAUCGUGCAAAAAAAGCAUUAAUUCGAUUCGAGGAUCCAUAGCCUUAUGUCCCGUCCGGCGGCAGCCAAUAACGCACGAAGGAUCGAAGUGGCGGUACCCGUUUGCCUGGAUGCGACCAGAUGCACCGCGGUUUGUUGUCUCGGCUACGUGGAAGAAUUAAAAACGAAUAUCGCACAAA